AGCGAACGCUGGCGGCAGGCUUAACACAUGCAAGUCGAACGGGCUUCUUCGGCAGUCAGUGGCAGACGGGUGAGUAACACGGGGGAACGUGCCCUUCUGUUCGGAAUAACUCAGGGAAACUUGAGCUGAUACCGGAUACGCCCUCUGGGGGGUAGCUUGUCGGCCAUAGGAUCGGCCCGCGUCUGCUUAGGUUGUUGGUUGGGUAUCGGCCUACCAAGGCGACGAUGAGGAGCUGGGCUGAGCGGAUGCUAAGCCACGACGGGACUGAGACACGGCCCCGAAUCGUACGGGGGGGAGGAGUGGAGAGUAUUAGGGGAGGAGCGCAAGCCUGACACAGCCGUGCCGGGUAAGUGGUGAAGGCGUUAGGGUUGUAAAGCUCUUUUGUCCGAGACGAUAAUGACGGUACCGGAAGAAUAAGCCCCGGCUAACUUCGUG
rnacentral:rRNA from 1 species